rnacentral:rRNA from 1 species
CCUACGGGUGGCAGCAGUGAGGAAUAUUGGUCAAUGGACGAGAGUCUGAACCAGCCAAGCCGCGUGAAGGAUGACUGCCCUAUGGGUUGUAAACUUCUUUUGUCAAGGAACAAAACGAGGCACGUGUGCCUUUUUGCGUGUACUUGAAGAAUAAGCAUCGGCUAACUCCGUGCCAGCAGCCGCGGUAAUACGGAGGAUGCGAGCGUUAUCCGGAUUUAUUGGGUUUAAAGGGUGCGUAGGCGGGCGUUUAAGUCAGCGGUAAAAGUUCGGGGCUCAACCCCGGCCGGCCGUUGAAACUGGGAGUCUUGAGUGGGCGAGAAGAAGGCGGAAUGCGCGGUGUAGCGGUGAAAUGCAUAGAUAUCGCGCAGAACUCCGAUUGCGAAGGCAGCAUUCCGGCGCCACACUGACGCUGAGGCACGAAAGCGCGGGGAUCGAACAGGAUUAGAUACCCUUGUAGUC